GCAGAUGUGAAUGUGGCCUUUCAACAGUCAGCACACAAGGUAUUGCUAGAUGAUGACAACCUUCUCCCUCUGUUGCACUUGACAAUCGAGUAUCACGGAAAGGAGCACAAAGAUGCUACUCAGGCAAGAGAAGGGCCUUCUCGGGAAACUUCUCCCCGGGAAGCCCCUGCAUCUGGCUGGGCAGCCCUAGGUCUUUCCUACAAAGUACAGUGGCCACUACAUAUUCUCUUCACCCCAGCUGUCCUGGAAAAGUGAGUAUUUCUGAGUUUCUCACAGGUAAAUAUGACCCACCUUACUUGUAAGGGAAGAAACUAGCAGGAACAGAAUUAGUGGGAAAGCAAGGUGUGGUGGCACACACCUGUAAUCCCAGCUAGUCCAGAGCCUGAGCAGGAGGAUCCCUUAAGCCCAGGAUUUCAAAUCCAUCCUGGGCAACAUAGCGAGACCCCCAUCUCAUU
rnacentral:sRNA from 1 species